rnacentral:misc_RNA from 1 species
GAUGAAGAACGUAGCGAAAUGCGAUAAGUAAUGUGAAUUGCAGAAUUCAGUGAAUCAUCGAAUCCUUGAACGCACAUUGCGCCCCCUGGUAUUCCGGGGGGCAUGCCUGUUCGAGCGUCAUUUCACCACUCAAGCCUCGCUUGGUAUUGGGCAUCGCGGUCCGCCGCGCGCCUCAAAUCGACCGGCUGGGUCUUCUGUCCCCUAAGCGUUGUGGAAACUAUUCGCUAAAGGGUGUUCGGGAGGCUACGCCGUAAAACAACCCCAUUUCUAAGGUUGACCUCGGAUCAGGUAGGGAUACCCGCUGAACUUAAGCAUAUCAAUAAGCGGAGGA